rnacentral:lncRNA from 1 species
GCUAUUUCUUGGGCCGCUCCCGCGGCAUAUGGAGGUUCCCAGGCUAGGGGUCUAAUCAAAGCUAUAGCUGCUGGCCUACGCCACAACCACAGCAAUGCAGGAUCUGAGCCACGUCUUCAACCUACACCACAGCUCACGGCAACGCCAGAUCCUUAACCCACUGAGCAAGGGCAGGGACUGAACCCGAAACCUCAUGGUUCCUAGUCGGAUUUGUUAACCACUGCACCACGACGGGAACUCCAUGAUACUCUUUUAAAAAACUAUCAUUAGCAUAGAUUAUUAUUUCAACGAUAGAUGUUACUUUCUGGAAUCAUCUCAAAUUUAAACUUGUUUUGAAAGUACAGGUCAAUGCAAUUAGGAGAAAAAUAUGAAGCAUCCCUAUUUCCGCUGAGGAUACAAUAUUAUUACUAUUUUCAGAAAAUGUAGUUGUUUACAUAGAAAAUGAAAAGAAUCAAUUCAGGGAAAUUCUAUUAGCAACAGAUAAUAAUUCAGUUAGGUGGACUGCUUUCAAAAUUAAUAUCCACAUUCAGCAGCAUUUCAGUAAAUAAGCAGUAUUUAGUGAUAAAAUAUAAUAAAGCAAACUAUCUUAUUUAUAAUAGCAUGAAAAGAAGCUAGAACACAUAGGUAUAAACUUAAGAAAUGUAUAAGGCCUAUAUAUCUUAAAAACUGUAAUACUUUCUUGAAGGACAUAAAAACUAAAAUUGAAUAAAUAAAAAGACCUAUCUCAUUCUUGGCUAGGAAGAUUUUAUACUGUAAAUAUAUCAGUUUAUCCUAAAUUGAUCCAUAAAUCCAAAGUAAUCCUCAUCAAAAAUACCAACAGUACCUUGUAUAACUUGGCAUCAUAUUAUUAAAAUUAUCUGGAAGCAUAAAUUUGUGGAAACUAUUUGGGGAAGAAGCUGUUAAUAAUGUUUCUCUCCAGACAGUGGAAAUGAAGGGUACGAAGCUGAGCCAGAGUUUGGGGGUUUAUUUCAUGACCAUCUAUGCUAUCGAACUUUUCAUUUAUUUUAUUUUUUAUUUUUUAUUUUGUCUUUUUAGGGUUGCACCUGCAGCAUAUGGAGGUUCCCAGGCUAGGAGUUGAAUUGAGUUGUAGCUGCCAGCCUACACCAUAGCUACAGCAACAUGGGCUCCAAGCCACGUCUGCAACCUACACCACAGCUCAUAGCAAUGCUGGAUCCUUAACCCACUGAGUGAGGCCAUGGACCCACCUUUGUGCUCAUGGAUGCUAGUCAGAUUUGUUUCGGAGACACGGAUUUUUUCGGAACUCCAAAAAAUGGUAUUUUAUUUUAUUAUUUUAUUACUUAAUGAAUUUAUUAAAUUUAUAGCUGUAAAAUGAUCAUCACAACCCAAUUUUAUAGCAUUUCCAUCCCAAAUCCCCAGUCCAUCCUCCCCACCUCCCAACCUGUCUCCUUUGGAAACCAUAAGUUUUUCAAAGACUCUGAAUCAGCAUCUGUUCUGCAAAGAAGUUCAUUCUGUCCUUUUUUAGAUUCCACAUGUAAGUGAUAACAUUUGAUGUUGGUGACUUGCUGUCUGAGUGACUUCACUUAGCUUGGUAAUUUCUAGGUCCAUCCAUGUUGCUGAAAAUGCCAUUAUUUCUUUCCUUUUAAUGGCUGAGGAAUAUUCCAUUGUGUAUAUGUACCACAUCUUCUUGAUCCACUCCUCUGUCGAUGGACAUUUAGGUUGUUUCCAUGUCUUGGCUGUUGCAAAUACUGCUGCAAUGAACAUCGGAGUACAUGUGUCUUUUCAAGCCCUGGUUUUCUCUGGAUAGAUGCCCAAGAGUAGGAUUGCUAGAUCAAAUGGUAGUUAUAUUUUUAGUAAAAAAUGGUAGUUUAUUUUAAAAGAAUAUUUCCCUUGAUGUAGAGAUGCUAAGCCCCACUGUUCAUUAGCACCACAAAGGGAGCCUUAACACAAUGCCAGUGUUCAGACCUCACAUCCAGAUAUGGGUUCAGCUGGUCUGGGGUGGGGCUCAGGCAUCUGGAUUUUUUAAAAAAGCUCCCAGGGGUUCUCCUGUGUAGCCAGGGCUGAGAACUGCUGCUGUGGUACCCAUGGUGGUUUGCAAACUGUGAUCACAACUCAUGGUCAUGAGAGCAAUUUAAUAGAUUGGGACCAGAAAUUUAAAAACAACAACAACAACAACAACAACAACAACAAAAGCCAUAGGAGUUUCCCUUGCGGCUCAGCAGGUUAAGAACCUGGCUAGUAGCAUGAGGAUGCGGGUUCAAUCCCUGGCCUCAGUCAGUGGCUUAAGGAUCCAGUGUUGCUGUGAGCUGUUGUGUAGGUUGCAGAUGUGGCUCGGAUCUGACACUGCUGUGCCUGUGGCCUAGGCUGACAGCUGCAGCCCCAAUUUGACCCUUAGCUUGGGAACAGGUGUGGCCCUAAAAAAAAAAAAAUAAGUAAAAUAAACCUACAGUUGACAGAAUCAUUCAUGCAUGCAUGUGUGUGUGUGUUUACUUACUGGGUUGUGAUCUAAGGGAUCUCUCUUUCUGUGAGAUGUGAAAUGUCUUAAAAAUCCGAAAGCCACUGCCUCAUGUCAUUCAAACAUUUCAGACCUUUGGAAACACUUUAUCAGAGUUGGUGUGAACUAUUAAAGGCUUCAAAGUUUAAAACUUAUAUUCUAAUUCUCUCUCAUUUCUUCAUUCAUUGAUUACAAUUCAAAGAUCAAAAUUGCCAUCUGUAAUUAUUUGUGCUUAGGUGAUGAGCACAGAGUCUGACUUAAGUAGAUGCUCAAAAAUGUAUAAAAAAUGAAAGAAUGAAUGAUUAAAUGAAUUAUUAGGUAAUGCUUUGCCUAGUCUUUCCAAGAAUUAUUUCUACAAACUUGUUUCUCUUCUCCCUUCCCAAGCUCCUAGCUAAUUACUCUGGGGAGAAUAAACCAAGAAUGCUUGGAUGGACACCCCAAGUUCAACAUAACAGCCAAGGAAGGGCUUCCCUUGUUGACAUAUGCAUCCAUGUGAGGGUGGUGCUUGGUUUGCACUGGGUCACACUGAUCACGCCAAUUCUGGUCACAUCCAUAUUAUCACAGUCAUGGCUGGACCCACUGGUAGGACAUAAGAUACUCAUGAAAGACAGAACCAGGAAGAAUGUGGCCGAAAUGGGUUAGCCUUCCUCAAAGCAAGUCACAUCACGGACAGUUCCCAGACCGCGGUUGAGGGCUUCAGAAAACACUCCAGUUCUCUCCAUAACCACCCUCACGUUGUGAAGAAAGGUACCGUGAGACACCUGAGAAAGGUAUCAAGUGACCCCGGUCUCAGCCCUGAGCAAAGUGCUGCAGGAAACCCCAGAAAGGAUCAGAGUUGCUUAAACUCUGCAGUAGGGAUUGGAUGUGAGGAAGCAAUUCAGACCGGGCGGAAAUGAGCCAGACAGGAGUCUGCAAACCAAACAGCGAGAAGACAGGAAACACAAUAGAAACGUCAAUUCUAAUUUGCCCCAUGCCUCUUCAUUAGGUGUUUGUCUUGUGGGACAUUUACAAACCAUCAGCAAAAUGACCAUCCCUGGGAACUCUGCUCCCGAACGGUGGGCCUCCUGUGCUCAUUCCAGGUGUCCUCUCUGCUGCCUAACUGAUGGCUUUCUGGGCUGUUUCCAUCUUGGGUCCCAUAGGUCACGUUUCUUUGGGAGGUGACAGGGAACAGGGUAAAUAUAUCUACAGCAUCAAUAACUUUUGGCUGAAACAAGCCAUUGAUCAGAGUGGCAGCCACUGGCUUCUAAAGGCCUAUUCAGAGAUAACGAGAGGGCGUUCUACUCAAGCGAACAGCUGUGAAGGUACAGACAGCGGUGAUGAAGAUCAGAAAAAAAGCACAAUUCAUAGUAGAGGCAAAACUUGAACAUGUCCAAGUUAAAAAUCUACGAAAACAGACUAAAAGGAGGGGGAUUUAAUCCAGGAAAGAGAAGACUAAGGGGUGAUUUUAUUGGAACCUUCAAAAAUAAAUGAACAGUGAUUUUAUAAGAACUGGAGACACCAGCUCUUUAUAUCUUAAGCUGAAGUUUGAAUAAUCGAUAUUAGAGCUGAAAAAGUACACCUUUAUUUCUCCUUAAUCUAAUCACUGUUUCUUGACUGCUUCUUGUAUACUACACCAGUUGUUAAAUACUGAAUUGUGUUGACACGGUGUGUGUAAGGCUUUGGGCAAGGACUGAGAAGGGUGGAAAAUUUUACAGGACGUAAUCUUUUUCUUCAAGGGGCUCCCUGAAGGAGGGCGUGAAGCAGACUGUAUGUGUAACUGAUAUACUAGGAGUGUUGGAAAUGGGCUAGUGGAGGUGCCUACAGCCACACGACCCAGCUGCGCAAAUCACAUGCUCUUUAUGACUUGACUUUCAGAUCCUCACUAAAGUUGAGAAAGCUCUGAAGUUGCUUCUGAAGAUGGGUAUGUGUAAUGAGCUACUGUUUCCAGAGAAAUGGAAAAUGGGGGCUAAAUGGAAUUGUGGGAACAGAUACUUUUGACCAGUUUUGAUACCAGUAAAAAAUUGAGUGUGGAACUUUGAGCUUAAGGUUUUGCAAUCAGCGAGUUCUGUAUUUCUUUAUUGUUUCCUUCUGAAGGCAGAUAUUACCAUUGUCUGCACAGAAUGUAGAUUGAAUGCAGCCCAUGUGGGCUAAUAGUGGUCACCAGUUUCAGAGGACUCUAUGUCACACAGCUACCCAGACAUGGACAAACUGGUCUUAACGAUUGCCUCCUUCCAACUCAGAUCUGAAUACACUGUUUCAUUAGACUUUUUAGCUUAAGAGAACUUUCCUAGAAUGAACUCAAUAAAUCCCGCUUUCCCUAAAACAUGCGUUUUCUAAGGCUGAUCAGUUUUCAAAUUAACAUGCACCAAAACAAUUACUUUGAAAGUGGGGGCAUUGAAAACAGUUGUUAAUUCAGGACCUGCUCUGAGAAUGUUGUGUUGACUCAUAAAAGGUCAAGUCCUUCCACCUUCUUUCAGACCCAUUUCAUUAAGAUGUUAUCCUUUUUAGUUCAGCACUGCACUAAAUAAUCACAGUAUUAACCUUCAGCUACCCUGCGGGAAGGCUGUAACAAUUAAGUAUUAGUUGGAUAAUUUUUGGGGGUGUGUGUGUGGCAGGACUCCCAAGCACAGCAAUGUAAAAACAUUCAUAUUUAAAAUUCUCAUGUAUGCAUAAUAAAUAUUAGAACACCACUGAGCUAAAAUUAAUGAGUCUGUAUUUAAAGCAUGGCCGUAUUUAAAAUUACCUGCCUGAUGACAAUUUUACCUAAUCACAUUAGAAGUAUCUCUGAUUGCUUCUUGUUAAUUGCUAUUUAUUCGAAUCUGGAGGGGAAAAGGUCCAGACAUUUCCGGGUAACAGAUUACUUAAUUGCUAACAUCAAACAGGUACUCAAAAUAAUAUUCCUACCCUUGAGCCAGCCAGUCAGCAAUGUGUUCUAAGGGGCAGCUGUGGUGGAAGAUUGUUCUGGGUGCUGUGGGGAGACAGGAGGCCAUCUCUGCAGUUUACAGAAGCAGAGAAAGAAAGGCCUAGAAAGAACAGCAGUAUUUUGCAGGUGUCUGUCCUGUGAAUCCCACAUGUACCUGAGGGCCAGGGGAGUCCACCCAGCCAUAGCACCUGACCCUAUUGCCCUUGAGAUCUGCAGUCCAGCAAGCAAGGUCAUGUUUCCAUCACAGAAGACCCAAGACUUCUCUCCUAGUCAUCUUCUUAUUUGUAUGCUUAUGGUUCGUUGUCUGUCUCCACCCACUUGAAUUUAAGCACCAUGAAAGGAGAGAUUUUUAUUUGUCUGCAGAUACAUUCCAAAUGCUUAUAACACCUGGCACAUAGUGGGCUCUCAGUGAAUAUUUGUUGAAUGAAUAAAUUUAAUAAUUUCCACAGUGGACGAAGAUAGGGACAUCUGUUCAAGUGCAUUUGUUGACUCAUUUGAAGAAUGUUUCCGAGUCAGUAUAGAUGUCUGGCUGUGAUAUUUUCCUUCUACUCUUAGACUUCACUUCCAAAGGCAUGGGGGUAAAUCGAAAGGCCCAGGAAGGACAACCCCAAGUUCAAAGUGAUAGGGCUCAUGAAAAACACAGCUAUUCUUGAGAAAAAUGAAAAGGGAAGAAAGUAAUCUGGGUUGUUCUGGAGGAAAACUUUGUAGAUUUUGAAAAAUGAAAGGGAAAAAUUAUCACCAACACCAAAUAACCCAUCUGAGUGAGCUUCCUUUAAUAAACUAAAUGGCUUGAUUUUCUUCAUUGGAGAGACCAGGCCAAGUGAAAUUCGAACUGCUGCUUCUUGGAAAAAAAAACAAACCAAACAAAAUCUUGGCUGCCUUCUGAGGCAAACUGUUCAUGCAGAUCCUGAAUGCACAUCACAGACCAGUUUACAGAGGAGCAGCUGCACUGGUAGAAGCUCCCGUCACCCCUGCUUGUCCAUUCCCACCACUAAAUUGCCCAUCUUGGGGAAUCAGAUCCUGUAAACACUCUAUUUCUUUAUUUUUUUAAAAAAAUAUAAACAGAGCUAAUGUUAGCCAGGAGUUCUUGAGAUAUUUUUUUCCUAUUAAAAUACCUUCACGGCCCCAGAACUGCACAGUAAAAAAAUGACUCCAUUUCCAAACCGCCCCGUGCAUGUUUAAUCCAAUUGUCAUCGGCUACCGUUCAAGGAUUGUGAAAAAUCCAUUGUGGGCACAUUCUGGCUUUAACCUGGGAUUUCUCACCACUCUGUGCACAUCAGGAAUCAAUUUGCCUUGAUGCCCAGAUUCCUCAAUCAAAGGGAACACAAUCUGAUUUCAAACCGACGUAAAUGAGAAAUGGACGGGUGUUGGCUUGUAGGUGAAACCGCAUAGAACAGCUAAGACAGAUUCCCAUGAAAUAGAACCGCUUGGGAAAAAGCUCUCAAUAUUUAAACUGAGUCUAUUUCUCUCACCGUUGGCUUUCCAGUUCCCUUUUUAAUGGCGUUCUGACUUUUCUUUUCACUCCAUCCUCCUUUCUGCUGACUUUUCUCCAUCUCUGUUCCCUUGUAUGGCUACCAUCAGCAGGCAGUGAUCCUAACACAGCAGCUUUGUUCCUAAAGGCUCUGAGGCCCCAAGGGAGGGUCACGCUGUGGACGUGCCUGCAGUCCUCUGUGCCCAUCACGCAGGAGCUGAGGCUUUACUGCUGCCUCGAAGGACUUCCCCACGCACCCCAGCCCGGGCAUCCAGGA